GAUGAAGAACGCAGCGAAAUGCGAUACUUGGUGUGAAUUGCAGAAUCCCGUGAACCAUCGAGUCUUUGAACGCAAGUUGCGCCCGAAGCCAUUAGGCCGAGGGCACGCCUGCCUGGGCGUCACACGUCGUUGCCCCCCCCAUCUACUCCUUCGGGAUUGCGGGGGGCGGAUGAUGGCCUCCCGUGCGCCUCGCCGCGCGGUUGGCAUAAAUGCCAAGUCCUCGGCGACGCACGCCACGACAAUCGGUGGUUGCGAAACCUCGGUUGCCCGUCGUGUGCGGUCGUCGCGCAUCGAGGGCUCGAAAAAAUUGCCGAGUUCCGGCUCGGCUUUCAACGCGACCCCAGGUCAGGCGGGGUUACCCGCUGAAUUUAAGCAUAUCAAUAAGCGGAGA
rnacentral:misc_RNA from 1 species